UCUAAUAUGGCAGAUUAGUGCAAUGGAUUUAAACUCCAUAUAUAAAGUAUUUUACUUUUAUUAGAA
rnacentral:tRNA from 1 species